UACGGGGGGGGCAAGCGUUGUUCGGAAUUACUGGGCGUAAAGGGCUCGUAGGCGGCCAACUAAGUCGGACGUGAAAUCCCCAGGCUCAACCUGGGAACUGCGUCCGAUACUGGAUGGCUUGAGUUUGGGAGAGGGAUGCGGAAUUCCAGGUGUAGCGGUGAAAUGCGUAGAUAUCUGGAGGAACACCGGUGGCGAAGGCGGCAUCCUGGACCGGCAUUGACGCUGAGGAGCGAAAGCCAGGGGAGCAAACGGG
rnacentral:rRNA from 1 species